UACGUAGGGUGCAAGCGUUGUCCGGAAUUAUUGGGCGUAAAGAGCUCGUAGGCGGUCUGUUGCGUCGGCUGUGAAAACCCGGGGCUCAACCCCGGGCCUGCAGCCGAUACGGGCAGACUAGAGUUCGGCAGGGGAGACUGGAAUUCCUGGUGUAGCGGUGAAAUGUGCAGAUAUCAGGAGGAACACCGGUGGCGAAGGCGGGUCUCUGGGCCGAUACUGACGCUGAGGAGCGAAAGCGUGGGGAGCGAACAGG
rnacentral:rRNA from 1 species